ACCCCAUUCAUGAUUUUAGUUAGAUCAUGAAUUGUAUUUAAGUUAAUUAAUUUUUUUAAUUUUUUUAUUUAUUUGAUUUUUUGGUAUUGUGGUAAGAUAGGGGUAUUUCUGUCAGUUUUUAAAGCUGUGCUAAGGGGGUGAAAUCGAAGAAAUAAAUCCUGAUGGGUUUGCAUGUAUCAAGAGGGAAAAAUUUGGACAUUUUUGCUAAGGAAAGCUUAUGUGGCUGGGUUAAACUGAAAUUUAGAGGAAUUGAGGGGCAGAAAUAAAUUUUAGAAAAAUGUUUGUUUAAAAAGGGGAAGGGAACUGGGCAGUUCGCCCAAAGGAGGAAGAAGAAAACGAGAGGAGAAGAAAGAAAGAAGAGAGGAGAGAAAGGAGAAAGAAAAGAAAAGGAAAGAAAAAAAAAAAAAGGGAGAGAAGAGAAGGAAGAGUGGUUUGGCCGAGAGAUAGAGUGAGAGAAGAAGAGAAGAACAAAGAGAAAGGGAGAGUUUAUUAGUUUUAAGUCUGUGAACAGUGGAUCAUCAAAUCGUGAUCUGGAGCUCAUUCGCCGUCCGAUCGUGCUGAUUUUCGGAUAUGUUGUUCAUGAAACACAGCUCUACAUUCUGAACGGUGGAGAUCGAAAUCUAAGCACUGUAAUAGGCAGCCAAUUAUAGGAUAGAAGAGACCUUCCGGAGAUCGUGCCGAGCAGUGAGCCUCCGCUUAGGGUUGUGCCACGCGUUGACAUCUUUUAU